UCCGAAUUAGUUUAGUGGCUAUGACGGCGCCUUGUCAAAUAAAUCUCCGCGUUUAAUACGGCGCAGACCCGGGUUCAAUUCCCGGAUUCGGAG